rnacentral:rRNA from 1 species
ACGUACGCUGGCGGCACGCCUAACACAUGCAAGUCGAACGAAGUAGCAAUACUUAGUGGCAGACGGGUGAGUAACAUGUAGGUAUCUGCCCUUUGGCCUGGAAUAACACGAGGAAACUUGUGCUAAUACCGGAUAAGUCUUUACGGAGAAAGCUUUAUGCACCAUUGGAUGAGCCUGCACUUGAUUAGUUUGUUGGUGGGGUAAUGGCCUACCAAGACUGUGAUCAAUAGCUGAUUUGAGAGGAUGAUCAGCCACAUUGGGACUGAGACACGGCCCAAACUCCUACGGGAGGCAGCAGUGGGGAAUCUUGCACAAUGGAGGAAACUCUGAUGCAGCGAUGCCGCGUGAGUGAAGAAGGCCUUUGGGUUGUAAAGCUCUUUCGUCGGGGAAGAAAAUGACUGUACCCGAAUAAGAAGGUCCGGCUAACUUCGUGCCAGCAGCCGCGGUAAUACGAAGGGACCUAGCGUAGUUCGGAAUUACUGGGCUUAAAGAGUUCGUAGGUGGUUGAAAAAGUUAGUGGUGAAAUCCCAGAGCUUAACUCUGGAACUGCCAUUAAAACUUUUCAGCUAGAGUAUGAUAGAGGAAAGCAGAAUUUCUAGUGUAGAGGUGAAAUUCGUAGAUAUUAGAAAGAAUACCAAUUGCGAAGGCAGCUUUCUGGAUCAUUACUGACACUGAGGAACGAAAGCAUGGGUAGCGAAGAGGAUUAGAUACCCUCGUAGUCCAUGCCGUAAACGAUGUGUGUUAGACGUUGGAAAUUUAUUUUCAGUGUCGCAGGGAAACCGAUAAACACACCGCCUGGGGAGUACGACCGCAAGGUUAAAACUCAAAUGAAUUGACGGGGACCCGCACAAGUAGUGGAGCAUGUGGUUUAAUUCGAAGAUACGCGCAGAACCUUACCAACACUUGACAUGUUCGUCGCGACUCUAAGAGAUUAGAGUUUUCGGUUCGGCCGGACGAAACACAGGUGCUGCAUGGCUGUCGUCAGCUCGUGUCGUGAGAUGUUGGGUUAAGUCCCGCAACGAGCGCAACCCUCACUUUUAGUUGCCAUCAUUAAGUUGGGCACUCUGAAAGAACUGCCAGUGAUAAGCUGGAGGAAGGUGGGGAUGACGUCAAGUCCUCAUGGCCCUUACGUGUUGGGCUACACACGUGCUACAAUGGUAUCUACAACAGGAAGCAAGACUGCGAAGUUAAGCAAAUCCCGAAAAGAUACCUCAGUUCGGAUUGCACUCUGCAACUCGAGUGCAUGAAGCUGGAAUUACUAGUAAUCGUAGAUCAGCGUGCUACGGUGAAUGCGUUCCCGGGUCUUGUACACACCGCC